UUUCUGUUAAUUACAUUAUGAUUUCAUAUAAUAUUAUUAUUCAUCUCUUCUUCUCCUUCUCUCUCUGCGAAUAAAACCACCUCACUCCACACAGAGGCUUCAGAAUUUUAGAGAAAGUGAGAAAUCUCUACUUUCUCGCCCUCAUUUUCAGAAACAACCACCAACCCAACUCCGCUUCUCUCCAAUCGGGAGGAGGUUCUGCGGCUUUGGGAUCUGUAAAUCCGUUCUGUUUCUUUAUAUAACUCCUGAAAAAAUGUUGGAGGGUCCUUCAUAUUUGAUCUCAAGGGAUUUGCCAAAUGCUUGCGAACAAGAGAGCAAAUGGAUUUACAAUACUUUCCUUGUUAUUGAACUCUCAAAUAGUAAACGUCCAUUAGAAGAUGGAGAAGACGUUGGGUUGAGAAAGUUUUCCAAGCCAUCAGCUGGCCAUGAGACCGAGGAAACAAUGCAGGGUUUACAUGAUCUUUCACUUUCUCAAGCCAACCAAUCUAAUACCCAUCAUGAUACCGGGGAUCAGUCAGAUUUGAGUUCACUCAUUAGCCAAAUUGGCCGAGACAAUUCUAUUAAUUGUCUCCUUCAGUGCUCAAGGUCUGAUUAUGGCUCAAUUGCAUCACUUAAUCGGAGCUUCCGCUCUCUAAUUCGUGGUGGGGAACUCUAUAGACUGAGACGACAAUUGGGUAUUGUUGAACAUUGGGUUUAUUUUUCCUGCAAUCUUCUUCAGUGGGAGGCCUUUGAUCCAAUCCGCCGCCGAUGGAUGCAUUUGCCUAGAAUGCCUUCAUAUGAAUGCUUCAUGUGUUCAGAUAAAGAAUCAUUGGCUGUUGGCACAGAGCUUCUUGUCUUUGGAAAGGAAGUUACGUCUCAUGUUGUUUACAAAUACAGCAUUUUGACUAACUCAUGGUCGUCGGGCAUGAAUAUGAACAGCCCCAGGUGCUUGUUUGGGUCGGCUAGUCUUGGGGAAAUCGCUAUUCUAGCCGGUGGUUGUGAUCCAAGGGGUAAUAUAUUGAGCUCAGCAGAGCUUUAUAAUUCAGAUACUGGAACUUGGGUGACUCUGCCUAGCAUGAAUAAGCCCAGGAAAAUGUGUUCUGGGAUCUUUAUGGAUAGAAAGUUUUAUGUUAUUGGGGGAAUUGGGGUAGGAAAUUCAAACUCGCUUACAUGUGGAGAGGUUUAUGAUUUGGAGAUGCGGACUUGGCGUGAGAUUCCUAACAUGUUUCCAGGACGAAAUGGCUCAGCUGGGGUAGCCGAGGCAGCACCUGCUGCAGCAGAGGCACCUCCUCUUGUUGCAGUUGUAAAUAAUGAGCUGUAUGCAGCUGACUAUGCAGAGAAGGAGGUGAGGAAAUACGACAAGGCGAGGAACUUGUGGGUCACAGUUGGCAGAUUGCCUGAGCAAGCUGUUUCGAUGAAUGGUUGGGGGCUAGCAUUUAGGGCAUGCGGAGAUCGGCUUAUUGUUAUUGGGGGACCCAGGGUUUUAGGUGGAGGGAUUAUAGAGCUUAAUUCUUGGAGUCCAGGUGAAGGCCCGCCGCAAUGGGACCUGCUUGCCAGGAAGCAGUCAGGCAGCUUUGUCUAUAAUUGUGCUGUAAUGGGAUGUUAAGGUGCCUGAUUUUGGUGGCACCAUGUGCAGGACUUUCUUUCUGAUUGGGAUUUUACUGUUUUAGUUCUCAAGGAGAUGGAGAAGGGGUUGUGGCGACUGGUGGGUAAUCUUCGCCUUCCCUUUUUUGGCUCUUGGAUGGCUAGUCCUGUCUUGGUUUUUCCCCCUUUUGUACUGGCAUUGAAUAUUAUUUAGUAUUAGUUUUCUUGAUUCCUGAUACUUAAAGCCUACUCAGCAAGAAGUUUUGCUUCCAUGGAGAAGAAAAAAGAAGGCUUUACCAUAUAGGAAAUUCCUGCAAGUUAAUUAGCUUCUCCAUCGAGUUCACAAACUUUACUCAUUCUUUCUUGUAUUUGUACAAUGAGAUGAACAGUCUCUUCUACCAAUAUAAGUAGAAUAUGUUUUUAUUAUGUUUCCAAUAUCCUGUCUGCCAAAUUCCAAGAUCAAGGUUAUGUUUUA